AAGGUAUUGGAAGAUCUUACUGGUUGUGUGGAUAAUUUAAUGAGUCCGGUUGAUGCGGCGGUGUGGAUGCCUAUAAUGGAGGGUUGCGCUCUCAGCAUAUCUGAAACAAGUCACGCAGACAGUACACUCAUUAUACCGAGGCGAGAAACGACAGGUUAUACUGACUACAUUACUUCAUAACGAAAGAGGAUUGAAACAAAUAUUUGUUCAAAUAUUACUAAAUAUUGUUUUCAUUA